UUUGUUCGUCCAUUGAUGGACACUUGGGGAGCUUCCACCUCUUACCUAUUAUAAUAUUAUUUCAUAAUUAUAUAAUGCAUAUAUUACUGAUGCAGAGAGGCCUUAUUUAUUCAAUUUUUUUUCUGUGUGUAAAAGGUUAAACUUCACCAUAAAGGACACCAUUCAACCAGGCUAGAUGACUAGGAUAUGACUUUUUUUAUGGAUGAGUUAAAAAGGAGCUAACAUCUAUUGGACACAAGCUCUGUGCCAAGAGCCGCAACUACUGAGCCGGUGCACUAGAGCCCAGGAGCUGCAGCUCCGAGCCCACGCCCACAGUUGCAAAGCCCGAUGCCCAAGAGCCUGUGCUCCACAACCAGAGAGAAGCCCACGCAGCAACAGAGACCACAGCCAAAAAUAAAGAUUAAAAAGAAAAUGUACACGCAGAAGUAUUGUUUAGGGAAUGGUCUCAUAGCUACACAAAAUACUAGGGAAAUCCAGAAGACUAAUAAGCACUAGAUUUGAAAAGGGCCGCCUUAUAGUCAGCCUGAGAUAUGUUUGAUUCAGUGUUAUCUUUGUUUUUAUGUAUCUGUUUUCCUUUUUGUAUGACUUGGACUUACAGCAUUUUUCUAAGAAAAGAUGUAUAUUUGUACAUAUGUUGGUGUUUGGAAAAUUUGCUUUUCUUGUUAAUUAAACUUUGCAUAUAGAUGAAGUCUAAGAGAACACCUUUGCUAGAAAGUCUUGGGAAAAUCAGCUUUCCUUCGCGGUUUUUACAGUAUACAGAACAUGAUGAAUCCUCUUUAAUCCAUAAGUUAGGGAUUGUUCAACAGCAUCAAUAUAGACUGAAAGACCUUAUUCACAAAAGGCAGGGUGUGGAAGCAAUCUAAGUGUCUACCAGCAGGUGACUGGGUGAAGAAAAUGUGUGUAUCUGUAUAUGCAUGUGUACAGCAUUUCAUUAUAUACAUGGGAUUAUACACACAUGUAUGUAAAUUUACUCAGCCAUAAAGAGGGCGGGCCUGAAAUGUUAUGCUAAUAUUUCAACCAAAUAUUUACUGGGAA
rnacentral:lncRNA from 1 species